GAUGAACGCUGGCGGCGUGCUUAACACAUGCAAGUCGAACGGAAAGGCUCCUGCUUGCAGGGGUACUCGAGUGGCGAACGGGUGAGUAACACGUGGGUGAUCUGCCCCGCACUUCGGGAUAAGCCUGGGAAACUGGGUCUAAUACCGGAUAGGACCACUUCUUGGAGGUUGUGGUGGAAAGUUUUUCGGUGUGGGAUGAG
rnacentral:rRNA from 1 species